UCGAGAAUCUUUCGCAAUGCCCGAAAGGGUGACGAAGCGACGCCGCGUGCGGGAAGAAGGCCUUCGGGUUGUAAACCGCUGUCGGGAGUUAAGAAAUGCAAGGAUGUUAAUAGCAUCUUUGUUUGACUAAGGCUCCGGAGGAAGCCACGGCUAACUCUGUGCCAGCAGCCGCGGUAAUACAGAGGCGGCAAGCGUUGUUCGGAAUUAUUGGGCGUAAAGAGCACGUAGGCGGCUGUGUAAGUCGGUUGUGAAAGCCUUCCGCUUAACGGAAGAACGGCAUCCGAUACUGCAUAGCUCGAGUGCGGGAGGGGAGAGUGGAACUUCUGGUGGAGCGGUGAAAUGCGUAGAUAUCAGAAGGAACACCGGCGGCGAAGGCGACUCUCUGGCCCGUAACUGACGCUGAGUGUGCGAAAGCUAGGGGAGCAAACGGGAUUAGAUACCCAGGUAGUCCCUGAGCGGGCUGGCAAGGCGCAU
rnacentral:rRNA from 1 species